rnacentral:tRNA from 1 species
GGGGAUGUAGCUCAGUUGUUGAACAUUUGCCUACCAUGUACAAGGUCCUGGGUUCAAUCCCCAACAUUAUCA